rnacentral:lncRNA from 1 species
AACAGUCCAGAGGUGCUGCAAUAUAGCCUAUGCCAACAUCAAGUUUGUAUGUGGUCCUCACUAGUAUAAAACCUGAGC